rnacentral:rRNA from 1 species
GACGAACGCUGGCGGCGUGCUUAACACAUGCAAGUCGAGCGGAAAGGCCCUUCGGGGUACUCGAGCGGCGAACGGGUGAGUAACACGUGAGUAACCUGCCCCAGACUUUGGGAUAACCCUCGGAAACGGGGGCUAAUACCGGAUACGACACAGCUUCGCAUGGGGUCUGUGUGGAAAGUUUUUCGGUUUGGGAUGGGCUCGCGGCCUAUCAGCUUGUUGGUGGGGUGACGGCCUACCAAGGCGACGACGGGUAGCCGGCCUGAGAGGGCGACCGGCCACACUGGGACUGAGACACGGCCCAGACUCCUACGGGAGGCAGCAGUGGGGAAUAUUGCACAAUGGGCGGAAGCCUGAUGCAGCGACGCCGCGUGAGGGAUGACGGCCUUCGGGUUGUAAACCUCUUUCAGCAGGGACGAAGCGUAAGUGACGGUACCUGCAGAAGAAGCGCCGGCCAACUACGCG